AUUUAUUGGUUUAGUAUAGGAUGAUUUUGGGAGGGAAUCCAUCUCAAUACACAAUUUUUCUUCUUGGACGCGGGAUCCGGUUGAGGAUUCGGGUCACCCAGUAAUAAAAACGGAUCCCUUAUAUUCUUUGAACGCUUUCUUCCUUCAGACAUAUUUGUACGCUUCUUUUCCUAAACCCUAGAGAGCCUUCGUCUCCAUUUCCAUUCUCCAACUGCAUUCGGGUUUAAAGCAUUUGCAUACGAACGAUUGAGUUAUGUCUAACCUUCCUAAUACCAAAUCCUCUUUCAAUUAUAUUCAUUCUUCCUAAUCGGUUUAAUCCUCCCCAUCGAUCUAUGGAUUUUAUUGUUGAUUCCAUCUACGAAAAUGCUGAUAGAAACAAAUUCCGGCGAAAGCUAGGGUUCUGGAAAAUUUAGUAGUGAUCUGAAGUCAUCGUCACUGAUUUUACUUAAGGAAUCGGUUUAGUUGAUGAAAAUGCCAAUAGAAACAGAUUCCGGCGAAAGCUAGGGUUCCGGCGAAGUUAAUAGUGAUCUGGAUUCGUCGUCACUGAUUUUGCUUAAGGAAACAGCAUGCUCUUCUCUAUUUGUUUGAUAGAAACAAAUUCCGGCGAGAGCUAGGGUUCCGGCGAAGUUAGUAGUUGUUGUCGUCCCCGAUUUUGCUUAAGGAAACGACUUCCUUCUUCUACGAGGAUUGGAGUAUAAUCUACGGCAAAAGCAACCACCAUUCAGUACGCAGGUAUGACUUCUUAUAUCAUUUUCCUUUUUGCGAUAGUAAACGGUAAUAUCAUCAGUAUUAUUAUUAGGGCUUCAUAAGAGUUUAUCAGUAGGCUCAUUAUUAUGGCUUCUUUUGAGCGGUCUCAGGCUUAUCACGAACUUCUCAGUUGUG